UACGGGGGGGGCAAGCGUUGUUCGGAAUUACUGGGCGUAAAGGGCUCGUAGGCGGCCAACUAAGUCAGACGUGAAAUCCCCAGGCUCAACUUGGGAACUGCGUCUGAUACUGGAUGGCUUGAAUUCGGGAGAGGGAUGCAGAAUUCCAGGUGUAGCGGUGAAAUGCGUAGAUAUCUGGAGGAAUACCGGUGGCGAAGGCGGCAUCCUGGACCGACAUUGACGCUGAUGAGCGAAAGCUAGGGGAGCAAACGGG
rnacentral:rRNA from 1 species